UACAGAGGUCUCAAGCGUUGUUCGGAUUCAUUGGGCGUAAAGGGUGCGUAGGCGGCGCGGUAAGUCGGGUGUGAAAUUUCGGAGCUUAACUCCGAAACUGCAUUCGAUUCUGCCGUGCUUGAGGACUGGAGAGGAGACUGGAAUUUACGGUGUAGCAGUGAAAUGCGUAGAGAUCGUAAGGAAGACCAGUGGCGAAGGCGGGUCUCUGGACAGUUCCUGACGCUGAGGCACGAAGGCCAGGGGAGCGAACGGG
rnacentral:rRNA from 1 species